rnacentral:rRNA from 1 species
GACGAACGCUGGCGGCGUGCUUAACACAUGCAAGUCGAACGGUGAAGCGCCUUCCUUUUUGGUGGGUGUGGAUGAGUGGCGAACGGGUGAGUAACACGUGAGUAACCUGCCCCCUUCUUCUGGAUAACCGCAUGAAAGUGUGGCUAAUACGGGAUAUUCUGGGUCUGUCGCAUGAUGGGUCUGGGAAAGAUAUUGUUUCGGUGGGGGAUGGGCUCGCGGCCUAUCAGCUUGUUGGUGGGGUGAUGGCCUACCAAGGCGGUGACGGGUAGCCGGCCUGAGAGGGUGGACGGUCACACUGGGACGGAGACACGGCCCAGACUCCAGCGGGAGGCAGCGGUGGGGAAUAUUGCACAAUGGGCGCGAGCCUGAUGCAGCGACGCCGCGUGAGGGAUGGAGGCCUGCGGGUUGUGAACCUCUUUCGCCAGUGAAGCAGGCCUGCCUCGUUUGUGGGUGGGUUGACGGUAGCUGGAGAAGAAGCGCCGGCUAACUACGUG